rnacentral:rRNA from 1 species
UACGUAGGGAGCAAGCGUUGUCCGGAAUCAUUGGGCGUAAAGCGCGCGUAGGUGGCCCUGUAAGUCCGUUGUGAAAGUCAAAGGCUCAACCUUUGAAAGCCGAUGGAUACUGCAGGGCUAGAGUACGGAAGAGGCGAGUGGAAUUCCUGGUGUAGCGGUGGAAUGCGCAGAUAUCAGGAAGAACACCAACAGGCGAAGGCAGCUCGCUGGGACGGAAACUGACGCUAAGGCGCGAAAGCGUGGGGAGCGAACGAGGAAUUAGGAAACCCCCGGUAGGUACCAAGACC